rfam:Clostridium sp. CAG:127 genomic scaffold, scf52
UAUGUUUGGAACUUAGAAGUCCUUGAUGUUCUUUCAGAGUGCAGCCAUGUUUGAACACGAUGUUCAAAAAAGCCGCCACUGAGCCCUGGAUGGCGAANNNNGCCCCGCCACUGAGCCAUGGAUGGCGAAUUGGCGGCGAUGGCGGACAUAGAGAAAAAGAAAAUUAAGAACAUCUAGUACUUCUUAGUUUCAAUACAU